AUUGAACGCUGGCGGCAUGCCUUACACAUGCAAGUCGAACGGCAGCACGGGAGCAAUCCUGGUGGCGAGUGGCGAACGGGUGAGUAAUAUAUCGGAACGUGCCCAGUCGUGGGGGAUAACGUAGCGAAGCUACGCUAAUACCGCAUACGAUCUACGGAUGAAAGCGGGGGAUCGCAAGACCUCGCGCGAUUGGAGCGGCCGAUAUCAGAUUAGCUAGUUGGUGGGGUAAAAGCUCACCAAGGCGACGAUCUGUAGCUGGUCUGAGAGGACGACCAGCCACACUGGAACUGAGACACGGUCCAGACUCCUACGGGAGGCAGCAGUGGGGAAUUUUGGACAAUGGGCGCAAGCCUGAUCCAGCAAUGCCGCGUGCAGGAUGAAGGCCUCGGUUGUAACU
rnacentral:rRNA from 1 species